CGGGACGUUGCCACAGAGGUUCGUGGCGGCGGUGCCGUUGCCACCGUCGAAGGUGGGGGCGUCGGCGGUGCCACCGAUGGUGACGGUGCCACCCGAC
rnacentral:tRNA from 1 species